CCUACGGGGGGCUGCAGCUAGGAAUAUUGGGCAAUGGGCGAAAGCCUGACCCAGCAACACCGCGUGAAGGACGACGGCCUUCGGGUUGUAAACUUCUUUUCGAGGGAAUGAGAAAGGACAGUACCCUCGGAAUAAGGCCCGGCUAACUACGUGCCAGCAGCCGCGGUAAUACGUAGGGGCCAAGCGUUAUCCGGAUUUACUGGGCGUAAAGCGCAUGUAGGCGGUUGACUAAGUCGGAUGUGAAAGAUCCUGGCUUAACUGGGAGAGGCCAUUCGAAACUAGUCGGCUGGAGGGUGGUAGAGGAGAGCGGAAUUCCAGGUGUAGCGGUGAAAUGCGUAGAUAUCUGGAGGAACACCAGUGGCGAAAGCGGCUCUCUGGACCAUUCCUGACGCUGAGAUGCGAAAGCCAGGGGAGAGAACGGGAUUAGAUACCCUUGUAGUC
rnacentral:rRNA from 1 species